rnacentral:rRNA from 1 species
CCUAGCUGUGUUGGCUUUCUAACCCGCACCACUUAUCGUGGUGGGAGACAGUGUCAGGCGGGCAGUUUGACUGGGGCGGUCGCCUCCUAAAAGGUAACGGAGGCGCUCAAAGGUUCCCUCAGAAUGGGUGGAAAUCAUUCAUAGAGUGUAAAGGCAUAAGGGAGCUUGACUGCGAGACCUACAAGUCGAGCAGGGUCGAAAGACGGACUUAGUGAUCCGGUGGUUCCGCAUGGAAGGGCCA